rnacentral:misc_RNA from 1 species
GAUGAAGAACGUAGCGAAAUGCGAUAAGUAGUGUGAAUUGCAGAAUUCCAGUGAGUCAUCGAAUCUUUGAACGCACAUUGCGCCCUUUGGUAUUCCGAAGGGCAUGCCUGUUCGAGCGUCAUUAUCACCCCUCAAGCCCUCGGCUUGGUGUUGGACGGUUUGGUGGAGGCCCCCUCGGGGGCUCCUGCCCCUCCCAAAGACAAUGACGGCGGCCUCGUUGGACCCCCGGUACACUGAGUUCUUCACGGGACACGUAUCGGACACAUGGGUUUACGGGACACGGUCUGCCUCCCCUCAGGGAGAAUCUUUCUAAGGUUGACCUCGGAUCAGGUAGGGAUACCCGCUGAACUUAAGCAUAUCAAUAAGCGGAGGA